rnacentral:rRNA from 1 species
UGGAUCCAGACUUUGAUCAUGGCUCAGGACGAACGCUGGCGGCGUGCUUCAUACAUGCAAGUCGAACGAGAAUCUGACUUCGGUCAGAGGAAAGUGGCGGACGGGUGAGUAAAAUGUAGAGAAUCUGCCCUGUACAGGGGGACAACAGUUGGAAACGACUGCUAAUACCCCAUAUGAGCGUAUCUGAAAUGGUAUUCUUGAAAGUUCCGGCGGUACAGGAUGAGUCUGCAUCUGAUUAGCUAGUUGGGGGUGUAAUGGACCACCAAGGCGACGAUCAGUAGCUGGUUUGAGAGGAUGAUCAGCCACAAUGGGACUGAGACACGGCCCAUACUCCUACGGGAGGCAGCAGUAGGGAAUUUUGCGCAAUGGGCGAAAGCCUGACGCAGCAACGCCGCGUGAUUGAUGAAGCCCUUCGGGGUGUAAAGAUCUGUCAGUGGGGACGAAACUUGACGGUGCCCACAGAGGAAGCACCGGCUAACCCCGUGCCAGCAGCCGCGGUAAUACGGAGGGUGCAAGCGUUGUCCGGAAUCAUUGGGCGUAAAGAGUUCGUAGGUGGUUUGUUAAGUUUGGUGUUAAAUGCAGAUGCUCAACAUCUGUUCGGCAUCGGAUACUGGCAGACUAGAAUGCGGUAGAGGUAAAGGGAAUUCCUGGUGUAGCGGUGAAAUGCGUAGAUAUCAGGAGGAACAUCGGUGGCGUAAGCGCUUUACUGGGCCGUAAUUGACACUGAGGAACGAAAGCCAGGGUAGCAAAUGGGAUUAGAUACCCCAGUAGUCCUGGCCGUAAACGAUGGAUACUAGGUGUUGCGGGUAUCGACCCCUGCAGUGCCGCAGCUAACGCGUUAAGUAUCCCGCCUGGGGAGUACGCACGCAAGUGUGCAACUCAAAUGAAUUGACGGA